rnacentral:misc_RNA from 1 species
GUGGAUUAAGCAUGCUUGGUGUCUUCGCUUCGGCAAGGCCCUUGCUUAAAUCACAUCCUAACACCUGUGAACUGUAAGACGUAUGAUGAGGUCUUUGGCCAAGUCAUCGUCUGCCCAUUUUUAACAAACAAUUAAUGUAACAAACGUAGUCUUAUUAUAACCUAAUA